rnacentral:rRNA from 1 species
GACGAACGCUGGCGGCGUGCUUAACACAUGCAAGUCGAACGGACAGACAGAGAGCUUGCUCUCUUGAAGUUAGUGGCGAACGGGUGAGUAACGCGUAAUCAACCUGCCCUUCAGAGGGGGAUAACAACGGGAAACCGUUGCUAAUACCGCGUACGAUUCAUGAACGGCAUCGUUUAUGAAUGAAAGGUGGCCUCUAUGUAUAAGCUAUCGCUGAAGGAGGGGGUUGCGUCUGAUUAGCUAGUUGGAGGGGUAACGGCCCACCAAGGCAAUGAUCAGUAGCCGGUCUGAGAGGAUGAACGGCCACAUUGGGACUGAGACACGGCCCAAACUCCUACGGGAGGCAGCAGUGGGGAACCUUCCGCAAUGGACGAAAGUCUGACGGAGCAACGCCGCGUGAGUGAUGAAGGUCUUCGGAUUGUAAAGCUCUGUUAACCGGGACGAAAGAGUUCUGCGUGAAUAAUGCAGAAAAGUGACGGUACCGGAAUAGAAAGCCACGGCUAACUACGUGCCAGCAGCCGCCGUAA